GAUGAACGCUGACAGAAUGCUUAACACAUGCAAGUCAACUUGAACUUCGGUUUGGGUGGCGGACGGGUGAGUAACGCGUAAAGAACUUGCCUCACAGUUAGGGACAACAUUUAGAAAUGAAUGCUAAUACCUAAUAUUAUGAUAAUAGGGCAUCCUAUAAUUAUGAAAGCUAUAUGCGCUGUGAGAGAGCUUUGCGUCCCAUUAGCUAGUUGGAGAGGUAACGGCUCACCAAGGCGAUGAUGGGUAGCCGGCCUGAGAGGGUGAUCGGCCACAAGGGGACUGAGACACGGCCCUUACUCCUACGGGAGGCAGCAGUGGGGAAUAUUGGACAAUGGACCAAGAGUCUGAUCCAGCAAUUCUGUGUGCACGAUGAAGUUUUUCGGAAUGUAAAGUGCUUUCAGUUGGGAAGAAAAAAAUGACGGUACCAACAGAAGAAGUGACGGCUAAAUACGUGCCAGCAGCCGCGGUAAUACGUAUGUCACGAGCGUUAUCCGGAUUUAUUGGGCGUAAAGCGCGUCUAGGUGGUUAUGUAAGUCUGAUGUGAAAAUGCAGGGCUCAACUCUGUAUUGCGUUGGAAACUGUAUAACUAGAGUACUGAGAGGUAAGCGGAACUACAAGUGUAGAGGUGAAAUUCGUAGAUAUUUGCAGGAAUGCCGAUGGGGAAGCAAGCUUAUUGGACAGAUACUGACGCUAAGCGCGAAAGCGUGGGUAGCAAACAGGAUUAAGAUACCUAGUUAGUCUAUGUGCUAUUUCCACUUUGGGUGGCAGCGGGGGGGACCCACAGUUCUGAAGCGCCGCACUGGGUGAACUUCAUUCUGACGAGUAGUAGAUUCUUAUAAAGAAAAAAAG
rnacentral:rRNA from 1 species